ACUCCUACGGGAGGCAGCAGUGGGGAAUAUUGCGCAAUGGGCGAAAGCCUGACGCAGCGACGCCGCGUGGGGGAUGACGGCCUUCGGGUUGUAAACCUCUUUCAGCAGGGACGAAGUUGACGUGUACCUGCAGAAGAAGCGCCGGCUAACUACGUGCCAGCAGCCGCGGUAAUACGUAGGGCGCAAGCGUUGUCCGGAAUUAUUGGGCGUAAAGAGCUCGUAGGUGGCUUGUCACGUCGGGUGUGAAAGCUUGGGGCUUAACUCCAGGUCUGCAUUCGAUACGGGCUGGCUAGAGGUAGGUAGGGGAGAACGGAAUUCCUGGUGUAGCGGUGAAAUGCGCAGAUAUCAGGAGGAACACCGGUGGCGAAGGCGGUUCUCUGGGCCUUACCUGACGCUGAGGAGCGAAAGCGUGGGGAGCGAACAGGAUUAGAUACCCUGGUAG
rnacentral:rRNA from 1 species